GCCGAAGCGGGCGGGCGGCGCCGAGGCCCGGGCUGGACCAGCGGCGCCCCGCGACCCCGCCGCCCGGACCGUCGUCCGCCCCGCUUCCCGCCGGCCGCCGCGCGCCCGCUCCUGUGCAAACGCGCUUCUCUCAGACAGUCCCCAGUGUGCUCGAAGGCUCCGCGGCCCCAGGAGGGCCGGCUGCCUUCCGCCGCGUCCUCCCAGGCCCGGCCGCCGGAGCCCCAGGACCGAAAUCCAUCCCGACGGCCUCGAUGCGGGGCCACCGGGGAGGGGACACGACCCUCGGGGCGCAGCUCGCAGCCCCACCCUCCGUGUCGGUCACCGGUGCGCAGGGGCAGCCUGCAGUGAAGGACGGGAAGAGGGCAGUUCCUACUGUCCCUGCAGUUUUUAAAAUGUGCAGAUACUCUUCACUAAAAAAGAAGCACAAAUCACAUUCCUAUUUUCGGAAAAGAGACACGGGCGAAAGUUUUAAAUAAUACACGAUUUCCGAGGCCAGCACAUUGACUCUGUAUCUGGCCAUAUUUCAUCUAGCAGGCUUGACUGUGCUAACUCCGGAAAUGAAAUUAUAGCACUCAGAGGGCCAUCCCAAUGAAUCUUUGAGAAAGGAAAAAAAAAAAAAAGGAAAUCCCUGUAAAAACAGAUAUCGUCAGAAUUGUCACAAUAUAUGUUAUAGUACUUUGCUGGGACCUUGAGAACUUUUCAUCCUAGAAGAAGGAGCAUCUGAAGAAAUGGUUUUAACCCCAGGACAUAGAAAGAGCAGAUCAAGCAGCCCUGUUACAGGCCCACAUAACUGAAGAGAGGAUAUUGAAAGUGUGAAACUUGAUGUCUUUCCCCCUAAAUUCUCCAUAAUUUUUUAAAAUUCAACACCCAUGUGACCUUGGACUCUCUCAUUCUCAUCUGUCUCUUGCAGUACACUCUUUGCUAGCCAUUCAGCACACUGCACACCCUGAUAAAAGUAGUUAAUGUUUACUGAAACCUGGGCAUGAACUGUACUAAACCUGAUAGCAGUGAAAAGGCAAAGUUCUGCUAACAGCAUCCAUGCACAAUAAAAAUUAAAAAAGAGGGGGUGCAACUCCAGGAAGGGAAACAUUUUUCUCUUUCUAAUUUGAACUUAAAAUCUGUCACUGAUGAAUAUGUCAGUUAUUCAUCACCAAAAGAUGCUUUUCAUCUUUUUCAUCAUCUCUCUGGAAUAUUUUCAACACAAGUACACUUCAACCGUUUCAUAGUUUUCCAAAUUUUUCUUUAUAGAUUUUAUGACUGAAACCAAUCUCUUUGUAUCUCUUGUUCUGACUUUUUUUGGAAGGUCCGGCGACCUGAUUUAAUGAUACUACUCUCAAAGAUUUAUUCAUU
ensembl:lncRNA